rnacentral:tRNA from 1 species
AAGGGCUUGGCUUAGUUAAAAUGGUUGAUUUGCAUUCAAUUGAUGCAGAAUAGAGUCUUGCAGUCUUUA